rnacentral:rRNA from 1 species
GACGAACGCUGGCGGCGUGCUUAACACAUGCAAGUCGAACGGAAAGGCCCUGCUUUUGUGGGGUGCUCGAGUGGCGAACGGGUGAGUAACACGUGAGUAACCUGCCCUUGACUUUGGGAUAACUUCAGGAAACUGGGGCUAAUACCGGAUAGGAGCUCCUGCUGCAUGGUGGGGGUUGGAAAGUCUCGGCGGUUGGGGAUGGACUCGCGGCUUAUCAGCUUGUUGGUGGGGUAGUGGCUUACCAAGGCUUUGACGGGUAACCGGCCUGAGAGGGUGACCGGCGACAUUGGGCCUGAGAUACGGCCCAGACUCGAACGGGAGGCAGCGGUGGGGAGUAUUGCACAAUGAGCGGAAGCCGGAGACAGAGACGCCGCGUGCGGGAUGACGGCCUUCGGGUUGUAAACCGCUUUCGCCUGUGACGAAGCGUGAGUGACGGUAAUGGGUAAAGAAGCACCGGCUAACUACGUG